AUUGAACGCUGGCGGCAGGCCUAACACAUGCAAGUCGAGCGGAGCGGCGGACGGGUGAGUAAUGCCUAGGAAUCUGCCUGGUAGUGGGGGAUAAAGUCAGGAAACGGGCGCUAAUAUCGCAUACUAUCAGAUGAGCCUAGGUCGGAUUCGCUAGUUGGUGGGGUAAAGGCCUACCAAGGCGACGAUCCGUAACUGGUCUGAGAGGAUGAUCAGUCACACUGGACCUGAGACACGGUCCAGACUCCUUCGGGUGGCAGCAGUAGGGAAUAUGGGACAAUGGGCGAAAGCCUGAUCCGGCCAUGCCGCGUGUGUGAAGAAGGUCUUCGGAUUGUAAAGCACUUUAAGUUGGGAGGCGUUACCAACACAGUAAGCACCGGCUAACUUCGUGCCAGCCGCCGCGGUAAUAC
rnacentral:rRNA from 1 species